rnacentral:rRNA from 1 species
UAAUGUAUGGGGAUCUGCCUGAUGGCGGGGGAUAACUACUGGAAACGGUAGCUAAUACCGCAUAAUGUCUGCGGACCAAAGCGGGGGACCUCCGGGCCUCGCGCCAUCAGAUGAACCCAGAUGGGAUUAGCUAGUAGGUGGGGUAAUGGCUCACCUAGGCGACGAUCCCUAGCUGGUCUGAGAGGAUGAUCAGCCACACUGGGACUGAGACACGGCCCAG